ensembl:lncRNA
GUUUUGUAUACUGUUUAUUGCUGAAAAUACUUGUGACACAGUAACCAAAAUAAUAAAAUAUCUCACUACUGUACAGCUGUGCAUCUUAAUUUUCUUUCAAAGUCACAGCAAAUCAGUGAACUUCUGUCACGUUCGUACAAUAUAAUAUUAUAUAACAAUAUAAUAAAUCUAAUAUUUAUAUUGUACGAACGUGAUAAUUAUGUAUAUUGUAUAUUGUAAUAAAGUGAUAUUAUAUUCUACAAACAUGAAAAGCAUAUUGUUAGAACAAUAAACUUUUCACCUUAUAACGUGAUAUAGCUCUAUUUUUCUUUUGCCUGGGUGGCAGCUCUAUGCUCCUGUAAUUUGGUUAUCAAAAUACGUAACUUAAUUAAUUAUAUUGUGACGUACUUUAGCCUUUUCUUAUUAUUCUGCCUUCUCAGAAAGGGAAAAUUUUUUACAAAUAAAAUUGUUUACACUUGUUAUAUACAAUAACUAUCAAAACCUAUUUACAUUUAAUUUGACUUUCACAGAAAUCCCACCUCUCUUUCUGGCUACAGAGCACUUACUUACCAAGGUUAGAAACAAAGUACAGUUAUGCUUUAUUAAUAUCACUAAUUACAAUGUUCCACAUUUCCUUGCCUUUUUAGUAAUUUUAAGGCUUUUUAGAGUUUUUUGGGUUGUUUGGCAGUAAUGUUUCUGCCUAUUUAUUUCAGCCCAUGAAAUCGAAUGCAGAUCUUCCUGAGCUGCUAUUUAAGGCAGUGGCACUGAGCAGCUCACCGCUGGAACGUUGAACCUCCUGAAUAUCCCUCUUCUGGACCAAAUCACGGGACCUGCCCAAGUGUGGCAGCGUGUGUGGAGUUUUGGAGCGAGUGCGGCUGAACAGGAGUGCGUGUGUGCGGAGGAGCUGUGGCGGUGAUUGUGUGGAAGAGGAAGCGUGUGUGUGGAUUCCCCCCCCUUCUCUCCCUAGAGCCCUGGACCCCCCUCCCAACUCACUGUACAUAUAUAUAGCACUAAGGUGAUCCCUGUUGUGAAUAAAUCUCCUUUUGUUCUCUGCGAAAGAACUGUCUGUGUGUGAGUCCGUUCAGUAGCCAUGACAAUUUACAUAAAUCUAAGUAAUUUGUUUGUCGUUAUCAUUAAUGUUGUUGCUGUUGUUGUUUUUGUGCAAUUUAAAAUCAUAUAAACCUAGCAAGCAUCAGACAGCACUGUGCCUAACCUAAACAGAUUCAUGCUUUAUUCACAUAUAUUAUAUGUAAUUAUAUAUACUUGUACAUUGUACCUAGGGUUGCAGCCACUUGGCCCUGCCCCAUUGUUCUGACAGCCCUGAUUGUACUUAUAAACUGCAUCUGAACAGGGAACAGUCUGCCACAUUAAUGUAUUUUUUAAGUGACUUGUUUCUAAUACAUGGAUUUUUCUCUUACAGAUGUCAAAGUCUCAACCUCAUGUUGCCCUCCCCCAUCCUCCUAAAGUGGUGUCGGAGAGGCGGAUGCUGUCCAAGAUAAAGACAAUGUUGGAUAACACCUCCCACCCACUCCAUGACAUGUUGGUCAGUCACAGGAGCUCGUUCAGUGAGAGACUGAGAUUACCGAAAAGCACCACUGAACGACACAGGAAAUCAUUCCUGCCUGUGGCCAUCUCCCUGUACAACGCAUCCACUUAACACACUGUUUGCUGCAACAACUACACAUGUUUCUUUUCCAAAUAUUUAUUUAUAAGUGACUUAUGUAUGUAUGUAUGUAUAUAUAUGUAUAUAUUGUACUAUUCUUAGUUAGCGUAUUGUCUGUCUUGUCUUAAUGUUGGUUUAAAAUGGAGCACUGUAACAAAAAAUAAUUUCCCCCAGGGAUCAAUAAAGUAUUCUGAUUCUG